UAAAAAAAAACACGAUUUUGCUUAGAACCAAGUUUUUGGAGAUCUUAUGAUUCACUGGAAUUGGUUUGCUGAAAAUGCCAAGAUCUACUAUACAAAAUAAAACCAAGGAAAUAAAUAGCAAGUGCCGUUACCAUUAUAUUAUGAAGGGACGGUGUGUGUUACUCAUAUGUAAUUUUUGAUUAGCUCCUGUCUUCUGUUCAAAACAGACAAAAAUCUCAGGUUCUCAUGCUUCACCAUUCCAUAGCCUUGGUUGUGCCAGACAGACUCCACACCAGAUAGCGUGUGUGCACUAUUUUGUCUUCUAUGCAAACACUGACUGGUGUGGUGAUUCAUCUCUGUGACAAACAUUUUCUUACGUCUCUUGAAAUGGUGUAAACACAGCAAAUUUAAAACAGCUUCCCAUAUUGCCAAGGAAGCAUAUCCACUUUCCCUGCUGCUUGGGGAAAAUACAGUGUUAUUUUUCUAUCUAAUAUCCUCUGAGAGAAGAAAGCAAUAGCAGACUCUACCAGCCAGGAAAGCUGUAUUCUGCCCCUUGACAUAUGUGCUUCCUUACAGACUUGUGGGUGACUUCCAGAUUUUAAGGUGCAUUUUCAGGUUCAGCAGAAUUAACUGGUCUUCUGAUCCAGACUCCUUGGACCAGAACUACGAAGCUACAGUCUAAAGCCAUCCUAAAAGGUAAGGAAAGUGUUAGCCUCUCCACACAACUUUUUAAAUUAUGUUACAUUCAUUUUCAAAUGGCUAAUUUUGCUUUUUCACCCAAGAUGCACCACAUGUUCUUGCAGAACAAGAUACAGAGAUUUAAUUUGUCAAGACUAUAGAAAAGAGUCUCAGAGAACAUGAGGAAGAAUGCAAUUCAAAGGAGCCUCUAAUAGAUAGGAUCAUGCUGGCUGAUACUUA
rnacentral:lncRNA from 1 species